rnacentral:rRNA from 1 species
AGGAUAAACGCUGGCGGCGUGCCUAACACAUGCAAGUCGAACGCGCUUUGUCUCGCCGCAAGGUGAGGGGGAGCGAGUGGCGGACGGGUGAGGAACACAUGGGUAUCUACCUCCGGGUGGGGGAUACCGGCGAGAAAUCGCCGACAAUCCCGCAUAGCUUCGGGAACGAAGAAAGCAGCAAUGCGCCUGGGGAUGAGCCUGUGGCCGAUUAGCUAGCUGGUGGGGUAAUGGCUCACCAGGGCGACGAUCGGUAGCUGGUCUGAGAGGAUGAUCAGCCACACUGGGAUUGAGAACGGCCCAGACUCCUACGGGGGGCAGCAGUGAGGAAUCUUCCGCAAUGGGGGCAACCCUGACGGAGCAACGCCGCGUGCAGGAGGACGCUUUUCGGAGUGUAAACUGCUUUUCUCGAGGAAGAAGCGGACGGUACUCGAGGAAGAAGCCCCGGCUAACUACGUGCCAGCAGCCGC